rnacentral:rRNA from 1 species
UUGAACGCUGGCGGCAUGCCUUACACAUGCAAGUCGAACGGUAGAGGGGCAACCCUUGAGAGUGGCGAACGGGUGAGUAUAUAUCGGAACGUGCCCAGUCGUGGGGGAUAACGCAGCGAAAGCUGCGCUAAUACCGCAUACGAUCUAUGGAUGAAAGCGGGGGAUCGCAAGACCUCGCGCGAUUGGAGCGGCCGAUAUCAGAUUAGGUAGUUGGUGGGGUAAAAGCCCACCAAGCCGACGAUCUGUAGCUG